GAUGAACGCUGGCGGCGUGCCUAAUACAUGCAAGUCGAGCGAACGGACGAGAAGCUUGCUUCUCUGAUGUUAGCGGCGGACGGGUGAGUAACACGUGGAUAACCUACCUAUAAGACUGGGAUAACUUCGGGAAACCGGAGCUAAUACCGGAUGAUAUUUUGAACCGCAUGGUUCAAAAGUGAAAGACGGUCUUGCUGUCACUUAUAGAUGGAUCCGCGCUGCAUUAGCUAGCUGGUAAGGUAACGGCUUACCAAGGCAACGAUGCAUAGCCGACCUGAGAGGGUGAUCGGCCACACUGGAACUGAGACACGGUCCAGACUCCUGCGGGAGGCAGCAGUAGGGAAUCUUCCGCAAUGGGCGAAAGCCUGACGGAGCAACGCCGCGUGAGUGAUGAAGGUCUUCGGAUCGUAAAACUCUGUUAUUAGGGAAGAACAUAUGUGUAAGUAACUGUGCACAUCUUGACGGUACCUAAUCAGAAAGCCACGGCUAACUACGUG
rnacentral:rRNA from 1 species